CCUACGGGGGGCAGCAGUGGGGAAUAUUGGACAAUGGGGGCAACCCUGAUCCAGCCAUGCCGCGUGUGUGAAGAAGGCCCUCGGGUUGUAAAGCACUUUCAGUGAGGAAGAACGCCUGGUGGUUAAUACCCAUCAGGAAAGACAUCACUCACAGAAGAAGCACCGGCUAACUCCGUGCCAGCAGCCGCGGUAAUACGGAGGGUGCGAGCGUUAAUCGGAAUUACUGGGCGUAAAGCGCGCGUAGGUGGCUUGAUAAGCCGGUUGUGAAAGCCCCGGGCUCAACCUGGGAACGGCAUCCGGAACUGUUAAGCUAGAGUGCAGGAGAGGAAGGUAGAAUUCCCGGUGUAGCGGUGAAAUGCGUAGAGAUCGGGAGGAAUACCAGUGGCGAAGGCGGCCUUCUGGACUGACACUGACACUGAGGUGCGAAAGCGUGGGUAGCAAACAGGAUUAGAUACCCGAGUAGUC
rnacentral:rRNA from 1 species